GAGCACCCUUUCAAGAAACUUUACAAUAAAGGCAGGCCAAUUGAUAUUCUUCCCUUUAUUCAUGCAUUGCAUGAGAACCAGAUCCAUGUAAUUUACCAUGUGCCUUCUCUCAUGUCUAGGCAGAAGAAAACUCGUAGAGCACUUUAUGCACUGUCCUCAUUUCACUUUUCUGAACAGCCUUUGCCUCAGGCACCUCCUCAUCAGAUUUGGUGUCACAGAAGUUUCUAGUGAUUUGAAGAUCAGUAGACAAUCCAUUCAGACAAGGCCAUCUUUGCCUUGUAUAGUCAUCAAAUCCCUCACCAGGUAUGUCUAGAAUUUUGCCCAGCUUGGCAAGCAUUAAAC
rnacentral:lncRNA from 1 species